rnacentral:rRNA from 1 species
UGAUGCAGCACGCCGCGUGAGGGACGAAGGCCUUCGGGUUGUAAACCUCUUUUAGCAGGGAAGAAGCGAAAGUGACGGUACCUGCAGAAAAAGCACCGGCUAACUACGUGCCAGCAGCCGCGGUAAUACGUAGGGUGCAAGCGUUGUCCGGAAUUAUUGGGCGUAAAGAGCUCGUAGGCGGUUUGUCGCGUCUGCUGUGAAAUCCAGAAGCUCAACUUCUGGCCUGCAGUGGGUACGGGCAAACUAGAGUGCGGUAGGGGAGAACGGAAUUCCUGGUGUAGCGGUGGAAUGCGCAGAUAUCAGGAGGAACACCGAUGGCGAAGGCAGUUCUCUGGGCCGUUACUGACGCUGAGGAGCGAAAGCGUGGGGAGCGAACAGGAUUAGAUACCCUGGUAGUCCACGCCGUAAACGGUGGGUGCUAGCUGUGGGCCACAUUCCACGUGGUCCGUGACGAAGUUAACACAUUAAGCACCCCGCCUGGGGAGUACGGCCGCAAGGCUAAAACUCAAA